rnacentral:rRNA from 1 species
UACGGAAGGCAGCAGGUGGGGAAUAUUGCACAAUGGGCGAAAGCCUGAUGCAGCUAUGCCGCGUGUAUGAAGAAGGCCUUAGGGUUGUAAAGUACUUUCAUCGGGGAGGAAAAAACAAAACUAAUAAUUUUAUUUCUUGACGUUACCCGAAAAAGAAGCACCGGCUAACUCCGUGCCAGCAGCCGCGGUAAUACGGAGGGUGCUAGCGUUAAUCAGAAUUACUGGGCGUAAAGAGCACGUAGGUGGUUUUUUUAAAGUCAGAUGUGAAAUCCCUGGGCUUAACCUAGGAACUGCAUUUUGAAACUGAAAUACUAGAGUAUCGUAGAGGGAGGUAGAAUUCUAGGUGUAGCGGUGAAAUGCGUAGAUAUCUGGAGGAAUACCUGUGGCGAAAGCGGCCUCCUAAACGAAUACUGACACUGAGGUGCGAAAGCGUGGGGAGCAAAACAGGGAUUAGAUACC